rnacentral:rRNA from 1 species
UCCAGAGGUGGCAAGCGUUGUUCGGAAUUACUGGGCGUAAAGGGCGCGUAGGCGGCCUUCUAAGUCGGACGUGAAAGCCCCAGGCUUAACCUGGGAACUGCGUCCGAUACUGGGAGGCUUGGAUUCGGGAGAGGGAUGUGGAAUUCCAGGUGUAGCGGUGAAAUGCGUAGAUAUCUGGAGGAACACCGGUGGCGAAGGCGGCAUCCUGGACCGAGAUCGACGCUGAGGCGCGAAAGCUAGGGGAGCAAACGGG